UGUGUGUAUGAGUGUACAAUAUAUGCUUUUUCGAACAUAUAUAGAUAUAAACGCUCCGCUUCACUCGGCCCUCCUCCCCCUCCCCCUCUCACUUUCCCCUUCAGGCGGGAAACCAAGCGGCCCAACCCCGGAGAGACAAAAUGGCGGCUCCCUUUCUCGCCUCUCCCCCCUUCCUUCCGGACCUCGCGCCUGCGCACUCCCCCUUUUUGCCCCGACGCGUAUCCCUCCGCCGCUUCUUCUCCCCCCUCCCCCUCUUGUUUUGCCAUCGAACGCUUCAGCCGUAAAAUAAUCCCUCGUCCCUAUGAGGGGAAAGCCGCCCUCCAGGUUGGUAAUUCCUCGUUCCUUCGCCCGUUUCGGCCUCGGGGCCUGCUUCUUUCCUCGGCCUCCCUCCCUUCUUUCGCUUCCUCGGUCGCCUCAGCCGUGACGAGGCGAGCGGGCGGGAGGGCGGUUGGUGUGUCCUUCCGCGGGGGGACUUUUUGGCGGGGCUUUUGGGCGCCUCUGAGGAGACGCGGCCUGGGCGGCCUCGGGCGCCCCUCGCUCGUCGUGCUGGGAGCCGGGCGCGGGCUACACACGUGGAAUUCUAUGCAUGUUUAUGUAGAAACAUCUUUUGCUGAGUUCGUUGGCGGCUGGGACAAAAGGAAUUUGAAUACUUAUAAGUAAGCUAGUUUUUCAUUCUCUCCUUGGGUAUCCUUAUAAAAGUUUUAGAUAAGUUGCUGCACCCAAUGUUUGGUGGUUCCUGUAACCAUUUUAUACACAUGGGGAGCUAAGGCUGAGCAUGUCCUGCCAAAGGACAUUGGGGAAAUCUGUAACUGAAUGACCAGGGUGUGUGGGUGACAGCUCAAUGUGCCAUUAAUCACAUCGUUAUUUUACCACUGUCUUCAAAUCUUAAAUUAUAAGAGAGUUACAGUUGCAGAUACUCAAGCUCUUAAAGUAUAGGUUUUGAAAGGAGAUCUUGGUUGUCUAGCCCAGUGGUUCUUAACCUUGGGUUACUCAGGUGUUUUUGGACUGCAACUCCCAGAAGCCUUCACCACCAGCUGUGCUGGCUGGGGUUUCUGGGAGUUGCAGUUCAAAAACACCUGAGUAACUCAAGGUUAAGAACCACUGGUCUAGCCAUUGGGUCACUUGUAGAGCCCAGAACACAGCAUUAUGUAGGAAGGUGCAAAAGCCAUUCUGCCCUUUUUACUGUGCUUUGCUUGUUUGUGAACUAAGAAACCUAUUAUGUUUCUUUUUUUUUAACGAGGACAAUAUUUCCUUCACAAAAUCGCCUAUCUGUCUCUCUGAGUAUUCUACAAAGAAAUUUUAAACAGCCUCCUGUCUUGCCAAGAAGUGUUUGAAUAUGAUGGUGUAGAAGAGAAAUUCAACAUUCUACAGGAUGUUAUAGUGAAGUUUUAGGGGGAAUCGAAAGAUUCUGCACUGAAAGGCUUCAAGGGGUCUUAUUUAUGAAAGUCUCAUAAGAGUACAACCGUUUGCCCUAUCAGAAAGUUUGGACUGCCGUUCUGAUCAUCACUUACCAUUGGCCAACUCAGCAAGCUGCAGUAGAGAGCUGAAGGUUCCCCACUCCUAAUGUAUAAAACAGUUUACUUGGCUGUGCCUUCGCCUGGCCUUGAGCGUGACUGUUUUGCACUCAUUCAGAGUUCAUGUAGAAAACAUAUAUUAAGUA
rnacentral:lncRNA from 1 species